rnacentral:misc_RNA from 2 species
CCGUAUGAAACGAAACGCGAUCGAGUUCAGCAGCCGCACCGUGACCCGGCGCGCGCUCGUUCUCCGAUCCGUGUCCACACACACCGAGUGCACACUGUGAGGGACCGCGAGGUCCCCCGCGCUUUACACGUACGAACGCCUGUUUUAAACGCAUGUCGAAUCCGUGACGGAAACGUCUACGUAAACA